UGGCUCUCGCAUCGAUGAAGAACGCAGCGAAAUGCGAUAAGUAGUGUGAAUUGCAGAAUUCAGUGAAUCAUCGAAUCUUUGAACGCACCUUGCGCUUUUUGGUAUCCACUCCAAGAAGCAUGUCUGUUUGAGUGUCGUAAAAUUCUCAAAUCUCAUCUCGAGUAACUUCGAGUUGAAUUUGGAUUGAUGGAAGCUUUGCUGGCCUUUUGUGGUCUGCUCUUCUUAAAUAAAUUAGCGAAAGGUUUGACUUGUUCAAUUUCUUGAUAUAAUAGUCUUUGCUUGUUAUCUUGAAAAUGUUCAAAACUUGUUUGAAAAACAUGCAGAACCCUACUGCUUCUAAACUGUCUAAUUAAAAGACAACUUGAAAAUUUGACCUCAAAUCAGAUAGGACUACCCGCUGA
rnacentral:misc_RNA from 1 species